UGCGGGAUGCCGAAGUCGGGUCCCGCACUUGAAACACUUGCUGAUUACUCAGGAGAUCGAUACAUGAGC
rnacentral:sRNA from 1 species